GGUAGAGUGUAGAGACAGAAGAACAUUCAAGGGGUAAGGGAGGAGGAGAGACAAUCAAGGGAAAGGGGUGCAGCCUUGGCAGAGGCCAUGAAGACUCAAGAGGAGGAAGGGGGCCAAGGAAACAUCCACCAUAACCAAUAGGCGACGUGACUUGAGGAGGAGCUCAUGUAUGACCAAUGAACUAAGGAGAGUAGGGUCAGGUACCAGGGACAAAGGAAAAGUCAGACAGAAGAGAGUGACAAAUCUGAAAAUCCCGAAGGUCGAAAAGGAAGAGAAGAACCUAGACCAUGCCCUUAGGUCAUUCCAGCAGGACAUGAGGGAGAAUUGGGAUCCCGUCGUCAUAGUCGUCUCAAUACCACGCAUCAGCCUGGUGUGCUCAGUGGCUGGGGUACCCCACAAGGCAGAGAUUGGAGCCACAGGGCUGUGUGUGGUUGCCCAUACCACUGUGAGCCAUCAGAAGAGCGGCCAAGCUCUCGGCCAGUCCACGGCAUCGUCAGCAGGCAGCCAUCUCGGGAGUCAUCUGGUCUACCCUGCCGGCUUCCCUGCAGGGGUUGGAACCCAGAGCUUCAACCAUCGGUACCAAACCGUCAUCACUUUCAUUUUCCCAGUGCAACUGGGCGAAAUCAUGGAUCCCACUCCAGAGCAGGUACCAGGAGAGACUGGCCCAGGGAAGGAAACCGUGGGGUCUACAGAGUGCAAAGCCCAGGGCCUGAGUGUCCCCCGCUGCCAUCCAGAUUGGGGGGAUAUCCUCAGACAUCUUGCCAAACUCCACAAGCAGAUGGUGGCCUAUACCCUCCGCUUUAUCAGCAGCCUGGGUCUUCUAGACUCUUUCGCGUUCCUCCUCGCUAUACUAACUAUCGGGGACCUCAAAACUAUCCAGAGCAACAAUACUUUUAUCCAUCUUCAUCUGAACUUCUGCCAUUUUCUCUCCCAUCUUCUCUUCCUCGCCGGAAUACACUGGACCCUUAGUAAGGCCAUGUGCAUCAUGAUCGGCAUGCUCUGCUAUUCGUUCCUGGCUAGUUUUGCCUGGAUAUUUCUGGGCAGGCUCUUUUUCUACCUGGCUUCCUGGAGCCUUAAGGUGGUCGAUUAUUUCAGCACCAUCCAGCUAUUCAGGAAAGUGCUGAAUUUCUCCAGUUAUGGGAUACCUGCUCUGCACAUAGGUUUAUUUAUUGCCAUCCAAGCCCAUGACAUCAAUAAUUAUAACAACUGUUGGAUCAACUCCAUCAAGGACUCAGAAUGGAUCUUUGUGAGUCCCAUCUGCGUUUUAAUCAUGGUAAGGUGGCAGCAAGGGUGGCAUAAGCUGGACUGAGAGAAGAUACAUCUGUUGUCCUUAUCUCCCACCCCUUCCGUAAAGAGAAAAAGAUUUGGGGGCCUGGCUUAGAGAUGCUGCUGUAGUUCUAGGCUGCUUUCCUGGUUCUUCUGUCAGGUCAAAGGCCAAGAUCUGUUUCCUACUCCUGUGGAAUAGAGACUUAGAUGGAUUCUCAUUUGCCAGGCCUGGUUUUCUACUCAAAAGUUCCUCCAAAGACAGCUGAGUAAGACCCAGAAGUCUUCUUGCCAAGGCAAGGGAGGCUUCCACCUACCCCUCAAUGGUUCCAUCCCAUCAAGAUCUCACCCCCCCUACCAGCAACAGAUCUUCUCUCAUUAAAUUCCUCUUGACUCGUGAUGCA